rnacentral:rRNA from 1 species
UUCCGGUUGAUCCUGCCGGAGGCCACUGCUAUGGGGGUCCGACUAAGCCAUGCGAGUCAUGGGGUCCCUUCGGGGACACCGGCGGACGGCUCAGUAACACGUCGGUAACCUACCCUCGGGAGGGGGAUAACCCCGGGAAACUGGGGCUAAUCCCCCAUAGGCCUGGGGUACUGGAAGGUCCCCAGGCCGAAAGGGGCUCUGCCCGCCCGAGGAUGGGCCGGCGGCCGAUUAGGUAGUUGGUGGGGUAACGGCCCACCAAGCCGAAGAUCGGUACGGGCCAUGAGAGUGGGAGCCCGGAGAUGGACACUGAGACACGGGUCCAGGCCCUACGGGGCGCAGCAGGCGCGAAACCUCCGCAAUGCGGGCAACCGCGACGGGGGGACCCCCAGUGCCGUGGCAAAGCCACGGCUUUUCCGGAGUGUAAAAAGCUCCGGGAAUAAGGGCUGGGCAAGGCCGGUGGCAGCCGCCGCGGUAAUACCGGCGGCCCAAGUGGUGGCCGCUAUUAUUGGGCCUAAAGCGUCCGUAGCCGGGCCCGUAAGUCCCUGGCGAAAUUCCACGGCUCAACCGUGGGGCUCGCUGGGGAUACUGCGGGCCUUGGGACCGGGAGAGGCGGGGGGUACCCCUGGGGUAGGGGUGAAAUCCUAUAAUCCCAGGGGGACCGCCAGUGGCGAAGGCGCCCCGCUGGAACGGGUCCGACGGUGAGGGACGAAGGCCAGGGGAGCGAACCGGAUUAGAUACCCGGGUAGUCCUGGCUGUAAAGGAUGCGGGCUAGGUGUCGGGCGAGCUUCGAGCUCGCCCGGUGCCGGAGGGAAGCCGUUAAGCCCGCCGCCUGGGGAGUACGGCCGCAAGGCUGAAACUUAAAGGAAUUGGCGGGGGAGCACUACAAGGGGUGGAGCGUGCGGUUUAAUUGGAAUCAACGCCGGA